CUGUUGGAACAGGCAUGGAGGCUCCCUUCGACGGACACGGGCCGAGCCGAACCGCCGUGUCGAAAAGCAGCCCGGCCGGAGAGCGAUCCUUGCAGUGGACGAAAAGGAAAUCCAGCUGGAUCCUUGGGACCACUUCGAAGAAGAAAUGGUCUCCGCUGAAGAUGUACUGCCUGUUGGAGGGCAGCAAAAAGAAGACUAAGGGGAAGGAGAAAAGGAAGAAAAGAAGAAGAAGAAGAAGAAGAAGAAAUUGCCCAAGGAAGCGAUGACCCUCAACAACCCCUUGGCUAAUGAUCCCGGAUCCCCACCCGAUACUAAAAAGCCUACCCUCAAAUUAAAAAAUAUCCAGAAUCCGCUGAGAAGGAAGAGGGGGGCUGAAGUUUUAUCCGCAGAAUUCAUUCAAGGACCGAGGAGCGUGUCGCUAGAGGGAGCCACGGGGUCUUUGGCAGGCCUUGCCACGGAGGAAAAGAAACCCCGGCUGAACGUGGCUGUGAAAGUGAAGAAUGUGGACAAAAUGGACGCCAAAGAACCAACUCCAAGGAAAAACCUCCACAUUGUUUCUUCGGAGAAGCAAUGGACCGAGGCUGCCUCCGUAGAAAAGGACACGGCUGCCCUGGAUUCCCACCAGAUGCCGACCGGAGGGGAAGAGUGUGAUUCCCACGCGUUGAACAUGUUGGCCGAUUUAGCACUGAGCUCCUGUAACUCUCCCUUGGACGGGAACAGUCGAAGAGAUUUCGGGCGUUUCCGUCU
rnacentral:lncRNA from 1 species